rnacentral:rRNA from 1 species
UACAGAGGUCCCGAGCGUUGUUCGGAUUCACUGGGCGUAAAGGGUGCGUAGGUGGUGAGGUAAGUCGGAUGUGAAAUCUCCGAGCUCAACUCGGAAAUGGCAUUGGAAACUACCUUGCUUGAGGGUUGGAGGGGGGACUGGAAUACUUGGUGUAGCAGUGAAAUGCGUAGAUAUCAGGAGGAACACCUGUGGUGUAGACAGCUUUCUGGACCAUUGCUGACGCUGAGACACGAAAGCGUGGGUAGCAAACAGG